UGAGCAGCCUGAGCGGCCGCGGGCGAAGCCCGAAAGGGCCCGUCUGAGGAAAGUCCGAGCUCCACAGGGCAAGAAUAACGGCUAACGGCCGCCGGGGGCGACCCCAGGGAAAGUGCAACAGAGAGAUACCGCCGCUCUUUGGGCGGCAAGGGUGGAAAGGCGAGGUAAGAGCUCACCAGCGCGCGGGAGACCGCGCGGCUCUGCAAACCCUAUUCGGAGCAACACCGCGGAGGGACAGUAUGCGCCGGCCCGGCGCGUCCCGUGGAGGUGGCAGGAACCGGAGCGGCAACGCACGGUCAAGAUAGAUGGUCGUUCAUGACAGAACUCGGCUUACAGGGCUGGUCACACC
rnacentral:RNase_P_RNA from 2 species